rnacentral:rRNA from 1 species
AUGAACGCUGGCGGCGUGCCUAAUACAUGCAAGUCGAGCGAACAGACGAGGAGCUUGCUCCUCUGACGUUAGCGGCGGACGGGUGAGUAACACGUGGAUAACCUACCUAUAAGACUGGGAUAACUUUGGGAAACCGGAGCUAAUACCGGAGAAUAUAUUGAACCGCAUGGUUCAAUAGUGAAGGACGGUUUUGCUGUCACUUAUAGAUGGAUCCGCGCCGCAUUAGCUAGUUGGUAAGGUAACGGCUUACCAAGGCAACGAUGCGUAGCCGACCUGAGAGGGUGAUCGGCCACACUGGAACUGAGACACGGUCCAGACUCCUACGGGAGGCAGCAGUAGGGAAUCUUCCGCAAUGGGCGAAAGCUUGACGGAGCAACGCCGCGUGAGUGAUGAAGGUCUUCGGAUCGUAAAACUCUGUUAUUAGGGAAGAACAAAUGUGUAAGUAACUAUGCACGUCUUGACGGUACCUAAUCAGAAAGCCACGGCUAACUACGUG